GGCCUCGUGGCCCAAUGGCAAGGCGUCUGACUACGAGAUCGGUCCAACAAAAACCGUUCAACAUAGUUAUCAGGAGAUUCUGGGUUCGACCCCCAGCGAGGUCA